UACGGAGGGUGCAAGCGUUGUUCGGAAUUACUGGGCGUAAAGAGUACGUAGGCGGACUUAUCAGUCAGGCGUGAAAGCCCCGGGCUUAACCUGGGAAUUGCGUUUGAUACUGUAAGACUAGAAUAGUGGAGAGGGAAAUGGAAUUCCUAGUGUAGAGGUGAAAUUCGUAGAUAUUAGGAAGAACAUCAGUGGCGAAGGCGAUUUUCUGGCCACAUAUUGACGCUGAGGUACGAAAGCGUGGGGAGCAAACAGG
rnacentral:misc_RNA from 1 species